ACGUUAAACAUCACAACAUUUUUAACUUCACUUAACUUUUCGAGUCAAUUUGCGUAAUUCGAGCUGCAUUUGAAAAAGCUUCACCAAUCUUAAAUAUUUACAACCUAUUUACAUAAAUACCACGUUCCAUAUUAAAUUGUCCGAAAUUACAAGUUAGUGAAUACAUGAAUACCCUUUCUGACAUGGAAUCCAUUUUCACUUUUCACCAAGUAAACUGUACUGGACGUCUGGGAUCCACCUUUCUCGCUGAAGUUUGUUGGAUGAAGGAGGGAGUUUUGCAAUCUGCUCGACCAACGCCAUAUCUUCGAGUCAUGCUGACACAGGACGACGGGGAGACAAUUAUGGUGGCCAUUGCGACCGGGAAUUUUUACCACGUGGCAAAAAAUCUUUACCAGGUUGGGAACGUCUACUGUUUUCCAGGAGGAAUGUUCGAAAUCCGUCUUCACACAUCACAAAACUCGUGCUCGAGUUAUCCGUUCGACUUGUAGUUCCUGAACGAUUCUGCCACAUCUGAUCAAACGAGUCCCAAAUCAUGCCAGACUUCAC